GUCUCUGAGGAUGAUGAAAACUAUAACUUUCGUUCUCCUGAAUUUUUCAUGUGGAAGAAUAUGGAGACCUGAACUGAAGAGGC
rfam:Vigna angularis cultivar Jingnong 6 scaffold1091_1, whole genome shotgun sequence.